rnacentral:rRNA from 1 species
UAGUCCACGCCGUAAACGAUGAUAACUCGAUGUUGGCAAUACACCGUCAGCGUCCAAGCGAAAGCGUUAAGUUAUCCACCUGGGGAGUACGAUCGCAAGAUUGAAACUCAAAGGAAUUGACGGGGGCCCGCACAAGCGGAGGAGCAUGUGGUUUAAUUCGAUGAUACGCGAGGAACCUUACCUGGGCUCAAACGUAGAGUGAUCGACUGUGAAAGCAGUUUUCCCUUCGGGGCAGUCUACGAGGUGCUGCAUGGUUGUCGUCAGCUCGUGCCGUGAGGUGUCGGGUUAAGUCCCAUAACGAGCGCAACCCCUAUUCUUAGUUGCCAUCAGAUAAUGCUGGGGACUCUAAGAAAACUGCCUACGCAAGUAGUGAGGGAAGGUGGGGAUGACGUCAAAUCAGCACGGGCCCUUACGUCCAGGGGCUACACACGUGCUACAAUGGUCGAUACAGAGGGGCAGGCUACAUAGUGAUAUGAUG